GAUCGGGCGAUGGGCGGACGCCUCGCCAACUCGGUCAGGUCCGGAAGGAAGCAGCCGCAACGAGUUUCGCUCCGGGUCGUUGCCUGGUCUCC
rnacentral:SRP_RNA from 2 species